rnacentral:rRNA from 1 species
CUGCCCCCUGAAUAUUUUUUAAAUGGCUGCAGUAUACCUGACUGUGCAAAGGUAGCAUAAUAAUUCGUUUUUUAAUUGAAAACUUGUAUGAAAGAUUUAAUGAAAUAUUAACUGUCUCAAUUUAAAUUAUUGAAAUUUAAUUUUGAAUAAAAAUGUUUAAAUUUAAUUAUUAGACGAUAAGACCCUGUAGAAUUUUAUAUUUAUUUUAGUUUUGAUAUAUUUUAUUAAUAUUAAGGUAAUUAUUUAGUUGGGGAGAUUGAAAAAUUUUUGAACUUUUUUUAAUUUAAAACAAUUAUGAUUGGAAUUAAGCAUUAUUUAUUAAUUAAAUUAGAAAAAAUUACCUUAGGGAUAACAGAAUAAUUUUUUUUGAAAGUUCUUAUUGAAAAAAAAGAUUAUGACCUCGAUGUUGAAUUAAGAUUAAUUAAUGGGGUAGAAUUUAUUAUAUU